CUUCACCGAGCCCAACCACAGCGGAAGUUCGGCAUCCCGCCCCUGACCGUAGGUCACCAGCAGCGCCUGCGCCUC
rnacentral:antisense_RNA from 1 species